rnacentral:rRNA from 1 species
AUUGAACGCUGGCGGAAUGCUUUACACAUGCAAGUCGAACGGCAGCACGGGUGCUUGCACCCGGUGGCGAGUGGCGAACGGGUGAGUAAUACAUCGGAACGUGCCCAGUAGAGGGGGAUAACCGUCCGAAAGGAUGGCUAAUACCGCAUACGCCCUGAGGGGGAAAGCGGGGGACCGCAAGGCCUCGCGUUAUUGGAGCGGCCGAUGUCGGAUUAGCUAGUUGGUGGGGUAAAGGCCUACCAAGGCGACGAUCCGUAGCUGGUCUGAGAGGAUGAUCAGCCACACUGGGACUGAGACACGGCCCAGACUCCUACGGGAGGCAGCAGUGGGGAAUUUUGGACAAUGGGGGCAACCCUGAUCCAGCCAUUCCGCGUGAGUGAAGAAGGCCUCGGUUGUAAGCUACUUUCGGUCAGGAACGAAAAGGUAGGUACGACUAAUAAC